rnacentral:SRP_RNA from 1 species
CCGUGCUAGACGGGGAGGUAGCGGUGCCCUGUACCUGCAAUCCGCUAUAGCAGGGUCGAAUUCCUUGCUGAGGUACCUGCCUGUAGGGACUGCCCCUGGUAAGUGGUGUUGAUAAUCGGGUCCUAUGCAACAGAAACCUGUGAACCCCGCCAGGUCCGGAAGGAAGCAACGGUAAGCAGGCCCUUCUGUGUGCCAUAGGGUAGCCUGAUUGGAGCUAACUGCCAGGGUAACGCCUGUAGGUUUAUAUCGAGGCAAGGUGCACGG